rnacentral:lncRNA from 1 species
UAAAAUAAAACUAAGUAGUAAUCUAAUUGUGUCCUACAUAAUGAAACACCCUUCUAGAGGAAAAUAAAAAAAAAAUGUUUAUCCUAUUCAUCCCUUAAAACGCGUAUGCACCCAUUGCCAAAAGAAAAGUUGCUUGUUUUCAAAAAGAAAUUAAACCCCAAACAUCCCAUCCUAUCCAUCACCGUACGCUAAUUUCUAAAAGCAAAA